rnacentral:rRNA from 1 species
AAACUGAAGAGUUUGAUCCUGGCUCAGAUUGAACGCUGGCGGCAUGCCUUACACAUGCAAGUCGAACGGCAGCACGGGGGCAACCCUGGUGGCGAGUGGCGAACGGGUGAGUAAUAUAUCGGAACGUGCCCUGGAGUGGGGGAUAGCUCGGCGAAAGCCGGAUUAAUACCGCAUAAGACCUGAGGGUGAAAGCGGGGGAUCGCAAGACCUCGUGCUACUGGAGCGGCCGAUGUCAGAUUAGCUUGUUGGUAGGGUAAAAGCCUACCAAGGCAUCGAUCAGUAGCUGGUCUGAGAGGACGACCAGCCACACUGGAACUGAGACACGGUCCAGACUCCUACGGGAGGCAGCAGUGGGGAAUUUUGGACAAUGGGCGAAAGCCUGAUCCAGCAAUGCCGCGUGAGUGAAGAAGGCCUUCGGGUUGUAAAGCUCUUUUGUCAGGGAAGAAACGGUGAGGGCUAAUAUCCCUUGCUAAUGACGGUACCUGAAGAAUAAGCACCGGCUAACUACGUGCCAGCAGCCGCGGUAAUACGUAGGGUGCAAGCGUUAAUCGGAAUUACUGGGCGUAAAGCGUGCGCAGGCGGUUUUGUAAGUCUGUCGUGAAAUCCCCGGGCUCAACCUGGGAAUUGCGAUGGAGACUGCAAGGCUAGAAUCUGGCAGAGGGGGGUAGAAUUCCACGUGUAGCAGUGAAAUGCGUAGAGAUGUGGAGGAACACCGAUGGCGAAGGCAGCCCCCUGGGUCAAGAUUGACGCUCAUGCACGAAAGCGUGGGGAGCAAACAGGAUUAGAUACCCUGGUAGUCCACGCCCUAAACGAUGUCUACUAGUUGUCGGGUCUUAAUUGACUUGGUAACGCAGCUAACGCGUGAAGUAGACCGCCUGGGGAGUACGGUCGCAAGAUUAAAACUCAAAGGAAUUGACGGGGACCCGCACAAGCGGUGGAUGAUGUGGAUUAAUUCGAUGCAACGCGAAAAACCUUACCUACCCUUGACAUG